rnacentral:rRNA from 1 species
AGAGUUUGAUCAUGGCUCAGAAUCAACGCUGGCGGCGUGCCUAACACAUGCAAGUCGAACGCGAAAGUGGAGCAAUCCAUGAGUAGAGUGGCGAACGGGUGAGUAACACGUGGGUGACCUACCUUCGAAUGGGGGAUAACGUCCCGAAAGGGACGCUAAUACCGCAUAACAUCCUGCUUUUGAACAAGCGGAGAUCAAAGCUGGGGAUCGCAAGACCUGGCGUUUGGAGAGGGGCCCGCGUCUGAUUAGCUAGUUGGUGAGGUAAUGGCCCACCAAGGCAACGAUCAGUAUCCGGCCUGAGAGGGCGGACGGACACACUGGGACUGAGACACGGCCCAGACUCCUACGGGAGGCAGCAGUGGGGAAUUGUUCACAAUGGGCGCAAGCCUGAUGACGCAACGCCGCGUGGAGGAUGAAGGUCUUCGGAUUGUAAACUCCUGUUGCUCGGGACGAAAAGCUUCGACCUAAUACGUCGAAGUCUGACGGUACCGGGUGAGGAAGCCCCGGCUAACUCUGUGCCAGCAGCCGCGGUAAUACAGAGGGGGCAAGCGUUGUUCGGAAUUACUGGGCGUAAAGGGCGCGUAGGCGGCCAUCUAAGUCAUGCGUGAAAUCCCCGGGCUCAACCCGGGAACUGCGUCUGAUACUGGAUGGCUUGAAUCCGGGAGAGGGAUGUGGAAUUCCAGGUGUAGCGGUGAAAUGCGUAGAUAUCUGGAGGAACACCGGUGGCGAAGGCGGCAUCCUGGACCGGUAUUGACGCUGAGGCGCGAAAGCCAGGGGAGCAAACGGGAUUAGAUACCCCAGUAGUCC